GCUUUUGGCAGGAUGAAGGCUGAACACCAAAAUGUUAUGAUUCCCGCAAUCACAGUUUUAAUGAGGAGGAGCCUGCCUGAGAAGGAGAGUGAAUUCACUGACCAAGAGAAGAGUCUUGACUUGAUCUGGUGAAUGAGAAGCUCACAAUUAGCAAGGUUUAAUUUUUUUGAAUUGAGCGGUACUCCAAGAUAGCGGACAUGUAGAGUCUCACAAGACAUUCCAGUAGAUGCAUGUAUCGUUUCAAUUUCUUGAGGAGACAGACCUGAUCCAUAAAAACUUGUUUUUUGGUAGCUGACCGCCAAGCCAGACCGUUGCUCAAAUUCAUGGAGGAUAUGAAGCACAUUUUGGACCGACUCCAAAGACCCAUCUAUGAAAAUCAGCCUUGAGCCAUGAAAUGAACUUAGGAGGGAUGUGGAGACCUUCAAGGAAGAAAUUCCCAUGAUAGUGUGUCGAAAGUUUUGGCUAUGUCCACCUUUAUGGUAAUUUUUUUUUAUCCCUUGUUUUUAUGGCAUCCAUGGAUCAACUCACUAGUAAGUACUGUGUUUUCAACAAGCAGGCUAUCCUUAACGAUUGCAGUUUGACACGGGAGAAUCAAGUGCUGUAGAAUAGGUUUGAGUCUUGAAACUAGGAAUCUCGAAAUGACCUUAUAUAUAGUAUUCAGACAGGAGAUAGGACGGUAUUCUGAAACUCUUAAAGUUCCAGGAAAUUUAGAAAUUGUGCUUAAAGUAUAUUUAAGAAAUAGGACAUGUGGAGUUCCUUCAAAUGAUUUGUUAAUUUAAAAGUUAGCUAAAUCCAGAGUUAACUGUGAUUUCAUUUCAAUUGAUAAACUUGAAAACCAACCAUUUCGUUAGUCAACCUCUGUUUUACAAAAAAAUCUGCAAUCAAUAAAAAUGUUUUUUUAAUAUGUUUUAAGAGUAUUUCUAAUGAAUGUUUUUUAAGAAAGUAGAUAAAUAUAUAUAUAUAUAUAUAUAUAUAUUAAAAUAUAUCACUAUUUUACUGUUAAGAUACGUAUGAAAGUAUUUUAUUUGUGAUAUUUUGCUCAAAAAAAUCAAAAUUAAAAUUAUUAUUUUUAUUUCAAUAUUUUUAGUGCAGGUACAUGCGUAAAUUAAAAUAUCAAAACGAUGAUCGCUUUUUGAUUCAAUAUAUAUAAUCCUAUUUUCUGCUAUUGAGUUACCGACAUAAACAAAUUCAUAUGGCGUCUGGAUUUUAUUCUCUUUUCUGCUGUCGUCGGACCGACGUGUAUUCAACAUCAAAACCAAUAUCGUUUUCUUGGUCUUUUCUGCUGGUUAUGGACCAACAACACGUCCUUGCGAAUAAUACUCAAGUACUCAGACGACCACCAAUAUUUCUUUUAAUUUACUUGGUUUUCAAAUUAUUGGGUCGUGAGAGGAAACAAAGAAACGAAUGGUGCAGGGACAUGCAUGCAUGCAUGAAAUUGAAAUCCGUAAUUAUAUAUUGGAAGGUCAAUUUUCUUUAUUAGUUUCAUGAUAUUUUUUUCAUAUAAGAUUGGGUUUAUAGCUCUUAUAUUGGUUUUGAACAGUAACAAGCAAAAAAAUUCCCGAUUGCAUAAGACCAUCUCCAAUGGUUCACUCUAUUUUUUACUCUAAAAUAGAGUAACUCUAUAAUAGAGUUUGAGUUUGCUCCAAUGGUACUCUAUUUUAGAGUAGAAAAUAGAGUGAUGAACAAAAAAAAAACAAAUUACUCUAUAUUUGGAGUAAAUCUAUUUUUCACUCUAUUAUAGAGUGAGAAAUAGAGUACCAUUGGAGCAUUAUUUACUCUAAACUCUAUUUUAGAGUGAAAAAUAGAGUGGGGUUGGAGAUGCUCUUACUUUAAAGGAAAAACCAUUAGAAAAAAGAGAGAGAAUUUUAGCAAAAAAAAAAAAAAGAGAGAGAAUGUGUCAACCAUCUCCAAUCACACUCUAUAAUUUCCUCUAUAUUUCACUCUAAAAUAGAGUAACUCUAUUAUAGAGUUGAAUUUGCUCCAAUGGUUUACUCUAUAAUAGAGUUACUCUAUAAUAGAGUGAAAUAUAGAGUAUUCUUGUUUUUUCACUCUAUAUUUGGAGUAAAAAAAUAGGAUUACUCUAUAUUUCACUCUAUUAUAGAGUAACUCUAUUAUAGAGUGAACCAUUGGAGCAAAUUUAACUCUAUAAUAGAGUUACUCUAUUUUAGUGUAAAUUAUAGAGGAAAAAAUAGAGUGCCUUUGGAAAUGCUCUAAUCUAUAGUAUUCGGCCUAAAUGAUCGCUUAACUCGCUUUGACUAUUUUGAGCCAACCCAAACUUACUUAACUGUGUUUUCAUGUGACACUGAAAAUGUAUGAACAUCUACUCUUUAUUCUUUUGUCAAUGUUAUUCUUGUAAAUGGUAAUACAUAUCAACAUACAUUAGUAUCUUUUUGUUCUGGAAUGUACUUACGAAAUAACCGACAAAUGUUUAAUAUGUGUGCCAGUUCAUCUUUGUGUUCAAAAAAAAUUGUGCCAGUUCAUCCCAAGGAAAUCUAUUAUUGCAUGAAUUAGCUAAAGAUAGCAUAAUAAAGUUUCAAAUCCAGGCAAAAUGUAGUAGAAGAUAAGUGGAAAAAGUAAGACAUAAUAAACUUUUCUUUGUACCUUCAAUCGUCUCACAAUAUAGUUGAGUUCUGAUAUAUUUGUGCCACUAUAAUAUUCCCUGUAUGUUACUGUCUUCUUCUACGUCUUGAGGUGCUAAACGAUGGGAAUUAUUAGUAGACGUGUCGAAAUCAAUAGUAAUAUUUAAUCCAAAAAUCCGUUCCUAACAAAUCAUAAAUACUAAUAUUAAUUUACAUAUCCGUUCUUAUCCAAUCACAAAUACUGAUAUUUUAUCAAAUAUUUCUUUGUAGUUUUAGCUAACCAAAGAGCAAACAAAGUUGAGAAAUCAUACUCAUGCAUAAGUAUGUUUCGUUAGGACAUUAUUAUUUGAAUCUCUCAACAAAAUACAAUAUUUUAAUGAUUUCUUUUUACAAAUGUUUUGAUAGACUCAUGUCCAGAAUUCUCAAAUGACGACUUUCAGCAUGAAUCUCUUUAAAAAAAAUUAAAAAUUAUUAUUUUGGUGACAUAUUCUAAUUGAAAUAUUUUUGAUGUGGAUAGUCUUAUUAGAGCAACACCAUUGGUAAGAAUCCACAUGGAUUUUUUACGGCAAAAAAUAUAAAUUUUAAAUAGAACUUAAUUUCUUAGUUAAAUUUAAUUUUGAUAUUAAAAAUCUAACCAAUAUUUGACAUUUGGACAGUAAGGUUGUUAUGAGGUUCUCAAAAUUUCUCAAUUAAGAACUUUUCUAGUUCUCUAUUCCCUUUUAUUUUUAUUUUAAUAAAUAGAUAUUCAGUACAUCAUUUUUUAAAAACUGUUCUUAGGAAACUUGCGUGCUAGUUUCUGAAUAGGUUUUUUGAAAUAAAAAUAUCAAAACAAUAGAAAGAUAACGUACCUUUAUAAAGAAACGUUCCACACAAUUUGAUAUAGACUCCGGUAAUAUUUGUUGUUGUCUCAUUGGUUGGACUUUUAUUUUGUUUAAAAUUUAAUAGUUUUAAUAUUAAUAUUAUAUAAAUUAGAUACUCUAAAUGGGUAUCAUACCACUAAUGAUGUUCUUAUGUUUGUAUUAAAAAUUUAACAUUAAACACUCCUAUAUGACAUUAAACUCACUGGAGGAUUCAACAUUAAACACUCCGAUCGAUAUGACAGGUUGCGGGGAUUUUAUCCCUUCCGGUGAACAUUGUUCUUAUCCCUUUAUGUUUCAAAUCAUAAUGUGUUUUCAAUUUCCAAUCAUAUUAAUAGCGAUUCUGUGUUGUGGUCUUUCUCUUCAACUAUAAUUCAUGCGGUGGUGUAUCAAAAAUUUAAGAAGAACCCGUUCUUGAUAACAUAUGUGUUAGUUGGUAUGUAUGUAAGUAUCAUUUAAUAAAUUGCGAACCAUCAAACAAACCAUGUAUCAACUAUUCAUCAGCUAACAAAAUAUGUGACAGAUAAUAAAUCAUGUAUCCUAUAACAAACUAUUUAUCAAACAAGAGUAGCAACGAACUUUGAAUGGUAUUAAUAACAAAAUAUCUUACACACUUGCGAAAUAUUUUUUUUUUUUUUGAUCGAAAUAUUUUCUAAUUCUAUAUAUAUCGUAUAAAUUGAUGAGAAAGAAGAAUAUGUAUUCAAUAAUAUACAUAAUAUUAAAUAUCAAUUUUUUGGUUAAUGAACUAUGCACUGCUAAAAAAACAUGUACCAGAUAACAAAUCAUUUAUUAAAUAACGAACCGUUUAUUAGACAAUGUAUUACUCACAAAAUAUGUAUCAAUCCAUUUAUCAUCUAACAAACAAAAAACAAAAAACUGUCUAUUCAAAAAAUCAUAUAUCAGCUUGCAGAGAUUCCACAGCCGGUAGCUACUGCAGGGCCAGAUAUAGCUCUAUGGAGACAUGACCAGGAUGAUUUGAAACCAUAUUUCUCAGCUACCAAGACUUGGAACUACCUGAGAGUUAAAAAGACAAAGCUUCCUUGGCAUUGUAUUGUGUGGUUCCCUCAGGCCAUACCCCGACAAUCCUUCGUGGUAUGGUUAGUUUUCAAGGACAGAUUAUCAACAGGCACUAGAAUGAAAGAAUGGAGAAUGGAGCAAUGAUGUGUCUACUGUGGAGACAAGGAUGAAAGCAGAGAUCAUUUGUUUUUCGCUUGCCCUUAUACCUUCACAGUUUGGAUAAACGUAGCAAAGAAAUUAUUUGGUCUAGCGAUAACACCGGACUGGAAAGAUAUAGUCACCUCCCUGUUACGCCAGAACAGGAGCAGACUCGAUGCUAUACUCCUCCGCUUAGUUUUCCAAACAGUCAUUUAUAUGUUGUGGAAGGAGAGGAACUCAAGACGGCACGGAGGUGUGUGCACCUGUUGAUACAACUACUAAGGCCAUUGGGAAUAUUGUCAAGAAGCGCAUCUCAUCUUUGAAGUAUAGGGAAAACCAUAAGCUGAGCGGACUAUUUAUGAGAUAGUUUACUGUCUACACAUAUUAGAACAUAUCAUUGUUUUAUUCUUUACAGAUUAGAACAAUAUAUCAUUUUAUGUAAAUUCCUUUUUCACUUUGAUCAAUAAAUUUGAUAUUUAAUCAGAAAAAAAAACAUAUAUCAGCUAACAAACCAUAUAAUAUGCUUUGUUAGAUGAUCAUGAUUAUGUCUAGUAUGUUAAAAGAAUCAAUAACAUACAUAAUAAAAAAUUGUAUCUACUACGAAAAUAUGUAUCAGCUAACAAAUAAUGUAUUAGCUAAUAAAUAAAGUACCAAGAAAAAUUUAACGCCUAACAAGCCAUAUAUUAUUUAACCAACUAUAUAUCUACUAACAACACAUAACUUAUAACACGUUACCACAUAUUAUCAGUUAGCGACAAUUAAAUACUAACAUCUAAAAAACUUGAUCUCAAAUGGCGAUAGAAAACAAAAGAUACACUAAUAAACAUAAAUAAUAUUGGGUAACAAGUAAAAUGGUUGCUAACAUAAAUGUUAUAUAUAUCAACAAACAUCACGAAAUUGCUAGCCAUCACUCUGGAUUCAUCUUGGAUCUUCAGCAACUUCCCAACCCUGGAAAGAGAGUUCAUUAGAGAUAAAAUAUAUUAAUGAGAAAAAUCAAACAUAGAAAAUAAAAUAAAAGGAACCAAAAAA